GACGUAGGGCGCGAGCGUUGUCCGGAUUUAUUGGGCGUAAAGAGCUCGUAGGCGGCUUGUCGCGUCAACUGUGGAAACCCGUGGCUCAACCCAUGUGGUCUGCAGUCGAUACGGGCAGGCUAGAAUUCGGUAGGGGAGACUGGGAAUUCCGUGGUGUAGCGGUGAAAUGCGCAGAUAUCAGGAGGAACACCGAUGGCGAAGGCAGCUCCGCUGGGACGGUACUGACGCUGAGGCGCGAAAGCGUGGGGAGCAAACAGG
rnacentral:rRNA from 1 species